rnacentral:tRNA from 2 species
AUCUUUCUAGUACUAAAAAGUAUACGUGACUUCCAAUUACAAGGUCUUGGUUCAACUCCAAGGAAAGAUA